ACAUCUUGUUGCAUGACAUUGGAGCUAAGAUCAAAAGCGCAGUGUCUGUUCUUAUCAGUUUAAUAUCUGAUAGGUCCUUUAUUUGAGGACUGUAUGUUAAAUUGAUUUUUGAAACAAGGGGAUGGAAUAGGAUGACAUUUCCCCAACAAUCCAGUACUUUGAAGAGCAUCACUGGGCAAAAUUUC